ACAAGCAAAGAUCACUGGGAGAAAAGGUUGAGAUGCCAAGAUUUAGGCCUCUGCAGGAGCACAUCCUCGGGCCUGAAGCUUAUACAAUUUGGAAGGCUCUCUUCAAGAAAAAGAAAACAGGAUUCUAAAUCCAAAAGCAUUCAUCGCUUUUUAAUAAACAUACUGCUUCAGCACCUGCUUCUGGAGAAACCAAUUUGCAACAUCCUCUAAAGCUAUGGUGAAGACUGCUCCCUCUAGGUGUAUUUGAACAAUGAGGUCGUGGAAAAUAAAGCAGCAGUGCAGAAAACAAA